CCCAGCGCUGAAUCCUUUAGCCUCUGGCUACCAGGAAAUGUAGCGUAUAGGUGCAGCUAUUCGUUCUCUUCGCGCACCCAAAGUCCCCUUGAGCGGGGCUACAGUCCAUAGAAGGUGCUAGACCUGUACGGGUGGCGAGGUGUUCGAUUUGUUGCUCCUUGGAGUCGGGUUGCCUGAGAUCGCAGCCCAAAGAGGGUGGUAAACCUCAUCUAAGGCUAAAUAUGACCACGAGACCGAUAGCAAACAAGUACCGUGAGGGAAAGUUGCAAAGAACUUUGAAGAGAGAGUUCAAGAGGGCGUGAAACCGCUGAGAUGGAAACGGAUAGAGUUGACGAAACUCGGCGGCAUUCAACCGGUCAGCUUAGUGGCCUUGCGGUUUUGCGCCUCGACGAGGGCAAGGACGUGAGUGACUAUUGAGCACUUGAUUGGUGUAUUUGCCGUCGGUAUGCGCCGAGAGCCUCGGCUUCGUGCGCUGACGUGUGUGUAGUGGACCACUCCUUCCGGGCGUGGAACCCUGCGCAUAAUGAGGCGCAUCGGGGGUGAGGUUGGUAUACUGUCUCCGCUUUGGCGCAACGGUUGCUGCGUGCUGUGGUUGCUGUUGGGCGGUCGCGUGCGACUUGCCUAUAGUUAGCUGCGAUGCGUGGUGAUGCGGAUGCGUUGAGACAUGUGUCUCGGUGUGAACGUUGACCACCUAUCCGACCCGUCUUGAAACACGGACCAAGGAGUCUAGCAU
rnacentral:rRNA from 1 species